AUUUUGCUGGAGGUUCCUAUUUACAUGAGGCCUUCCAAAGGCACCCAGUGAGUGUGAAGAGCACACGGGGAAAACCGAAGUUAGGAGUAAUAGGACAGUGCAUGCUUUCCAGAAGAAGCCUCAGCUGCAGGGCUGGCAAGGAGUAACGAACUGCUAUGCACAGAAAGAGAAGCUCCCUGUGAUCCAGCUGGAAUCUGAGCUGCUGUGCAGAACUACUGCAGUGUUGGACAGGUCUGUUCUGCACCCAAAAAUGCUCGAAUGUACCAGGGGAUGGGAGAUAAUCUGGAGAUGUCUGUCUUCAAUGAACUGGAGAAACUUAUUUGUUUUACUGAAGACAAGACUAAUUCAGAUUUGGCAGCCAUCCCACUCAGAGGCAGGCACUUAGCCCCCAGCUGUGCUUUCCUUGCCAAGACCUAUAUGAAAUGUUACUACACAAACAGAGAAUCAAUAAUGUCAAACAGUAUUUGUAAGUUUUAUGUAGGUUGUAUAAUUCUUU